AGAUCAUGUUGAGGACAAUUCCUUAACAACCCUUUGUAGCACUCCCAGGCUUCGUAUAGUGACUCCCUUGGUUGUUGCUCAAAGUUGGCUAUUGCCUUCUUGAAUUU